UGCAAGAUGCAGCUGUUACCCUGCUGAACUUGCCACCCUGGUCAAGUGACUUCACUUAUCCAAGCCUCAGAUGAGGAUGAUGAGAGAAUUAACCAAAAUAACAGACCUCAAGUAUCUGGCACCUGGAGCCCAGCAACUCUCUGCUCAUUGGCUCAACUGCAUUAAAAGGUCAAUCCAGCAGUAUCAGCCUGUGUGGGGUAGCCAGACCCAUGACCUGUUCCGUCAUACUUGGUACCUGGUCAGGACUGUCACUCGUAGCACCUGGAUGAGCCCCUGCAGGCAGCGCAUCUGGACAUUAUACUUGGAGAGGAAAGGUAGCAGAAGCAGUUUCUAGAUUCAUGAUUAAACCAGCACCGAUGGCAAUAGCUAAUGGCGAUGAAGUACUUGCAACCUGCUGAGCACCAUCCCAGGAACCUGACUCCAGUGCUCUCUAAUCCCCGAAGCAGUGCCUGGGGCGCAGGACAUGAGGGUCAUCCUGUAAAAUGGGAAGGCAAUGGGGCCUGUCGCCCUUGGAAGUUCCGCCUCAUUUCCUGGCACCGGGGGAGUGAUCCCAGUGUGCCGUGGCCCAGCCCUGGAUUAGCCCCAUUAGCAAAUCAGGUGCAGAGAAGGCCCAGCCUUCCAGCAGCAGCCUCCCUGCUUCAUCACAUUCCCUCCCUCAGCGACGCCUAUAAGGGCUGGUUUCCACACCUGUCAGGGACAGGCCCUGUGGGCGCAGAUGGCUGUGGUGCCUCCCUCGGGGGCUGUGGGCCUCCAGGACGGUGUGGACAGGCCCUGAGACAUCCGAAGGCCUCUCAAGAGAUGGUGAUGGCAAAACUCUGUACUUAA
rnacentral:lncRNA from 1 species